CCUGGGUCUGCGAUGGCUCGGGCCAGUUGUCCUGGCGCUUGAGGAGGUGAGGCUAUGCGUUCAAGGCCAACCUGUGCAACAUAAGAACCUCUCAUUCAUUUAAAAAAAUAAAACAAAAAC